UUCAUCAGUGAAUGAAAACGGUUUUUAUCCUAAUAUGAAUUCAGCUUAUGAUCCUGAAUUUAUAUUGUUAAAGCAGUCAAUGAUAUUAUUUCAGAGUUAUAACUGACUUAGCAAAGUCACGUUAUUUAUUUAAGCAAGAUGAAAUUAGAUUUUAUCUUUAUUCAAGUCGUGAUUUAUUUCUGACUCGUGAGUUAAUUAAAUCUGCGGAUUUAAUUUAAAUAUUAGAACAACAAACGAAUUAAAUCUACGGAUUUAAUUUAGAUUCAUUUUAUAAUUUAUCGAUUUAAGCGAGAAAUCACAUGUCGAAAUACGAGAAUUAUUUAAAUAAACAGUAUCAAGCAGAUACGAGCACGCGAUCCAUCUUACAGUUACAGAAUCACCGAGACAGAGAAAAUACAUCAAUAAUUCUCCUCUACAUUUUUUUUUUCUUUCUUUUUCUUCUCUUUUUCUUUCCAUUAAUUUUGUUCCCCACUUCAUUUUACCACUAAAUCUACUUUUUGACUUUCACCACCAUUUUCCCCACCACUUUCACCACCAUUUUCUCCACUACUCAAUUAUGCAACAACACAUAUUGUUCCAGCCAUCAAGUCUUUUCUCCCCUCACCAAAACGUGUAGAAGAAGUUGAGAAAGGGAGAGAGAGUUUCCUCCAACUCCAAAUUGUAACUUGAAGAGGUUGAGCAGCUGCCGAUGGUGAUGAAGUGACGAGCGGGACUCUUUUGUUUUAUUAUGUAUUAAUGAACUCUAGGGUUACAUGUCUUCAUACAUGUAAUCAGAACCUUAUUCCGCUGCGUACUCAGAAGUUUUAUGUUAUUUUGGAUAAGUCGGAGUUAUCCGAAUUUACUAGUUA